rnacentral:rRNA from 1 species
UACGUAGGGUGCGAGCGUUAAUCGGAAUUACUGGGCGUAAAGCGUGCGCAGGCGGCUUUGCAAGACAGAUGUGAAAUCCCCGAGCUCAACUUGGGAACUGCGUUUGGAACUGUCAGACUAGAGUGCGUCAGAGGGGGGUGGAAUUCCACGUGUAGCAGUGAAAUGCGUAGAGAUGUGGAGGAACACCGAUGGCGAAGGCAGCCCCCUGGGAUGACACUGACGCUCAUGCACGAAAGCGUGGGGAGCAAACAGG